rnacentral:rRNA from 1 species
AUACCAAUCUGCCCGUUACUCGGGGAUAGCCUUCUGAAAGGAAGAUUAAUACCCGGAUGGCAUGUAUUUCCGGCAUCGGAGAUACNUUAAAAGAUUUAUCGGUAACGGAUGAGGAUGCGUACGAUUAGCUGGUUGCGGGGUAACGGCCCACCAAGGCGACGAUCGUUAGGGGUUCUGAGAGGAAGGUCCCCCCACACUGGAACUGAGACACGGUCCAGACUCCUACGGGAGGCAGCAGUGAGGAAUAUUGGUCAAUGGGCGCGAGCCUGAACCAGCCAAGUAGCGUGAAGGAUGACUGCCCUACGGGUUGUAAACUUCUUUUGUUUGGGAAUAAAUGAUACUACGUGUAGUAUUUUGCAUGUACCUUACGAAUAAGCAUCGGCUAAUUCCGUG